rnacentral:rRNA from 1 species
UUAAGUAAGUAAGGGCUUACGGUGAAUACCUUGGCACUCAGAAGCGAUGAAGGGCGUGACUACCGACGAAACUCUUCGAUGAGCUGGAAGUAAGCUACGACUCGAAGGUACCCGAAUAAGGAAACUUUUUAAACUAUUCACUGAAUAUAUAGGUGAAAAAGAGCGAACUUAGUGAACUGAAACAUCUUAGUAGCUAAAGGAAAAGAAAGCAAAAGCGAUUCCCAUAGUAGUGGCGAGCGAAAAGGGACCAGCCUAAACUGUUGAGAAAAAUCUUGGCAGGGUCGUGGGACAGUUAAGGUAGUACAAGAUAUUAGAUGAAAUACUUGGAAAAGUAUAUCAAAGAAGGUGAUAAUCCUGUAGUCAAAAAUAUUGAGUAUUUAGACUGAAUCCCGAGUAAUGUGGGACACGUGAAACCCCGCAUGAAUUAGCGAGGACCACCUCGUAAGGCUAAAUAUUCCUGAGUGACCGAUAGCGUAACAGUACCGUGAGGGAAAGGUGAAAAGAACCCCGGGAGGGGAGUGAAAUAGAACAUGAAACCGUAAGCCUACAAGCAGUGGGAGAACGACUAAUCGUUUGACUUCGUGCAUGUUGAAGAAUGAGCCGGCGACUUAUAGGUAUUGGCAGGUUAAGACAGAGGAUGUCGAAGCCAUAGUGAAAGCGAGCUUUAAUAGAGCAUAAAGUCAUUAUUUAUAGACCCGAAACCGGAUGAUCUAGCCAUGGCCAGGGUGAAGCUUAGGUAGUACUAAGUGGAGGUCCGAACUGACUGAUGUUGAAAAAUCAGCAGAUGAGCUGUGGUUAGGGGUGAAAUGCCAAUCGAAUCCGGAGCUAGCUGGUUCUCCCCGAAAUGCGUUGAGGCGCAGCGAUUGGCGCUUAAUCUUAGGGGUAAAGCACUGUUUCGAUGCGGGCUGCGAGAGCGGUACCAAAUCGAUGCAAACUCUGAAUACUAAGUGUGUAGCCAAUCAGUGAGACAGUGGGGGAUAAGCUCCAUUGUCAAAAGGGAAACAGCCCAGACCACCAGCUAAGGCCCCUAAAUAUAUACUAAGUGAUAAAGGAAGUGAAAUUGCAUAGACAGCCAGGAGGUUUGCUUAGAAGCAGCAAUCCUUUAAAGAGUGCGUAAUAGCUCACUGGUCAAGUGAUUCUGCGCCGAAAAUGAAUGGGACUAAGUAUUUUGCCGAAGCUGUGGGAUGUUUACAUCGGUAGGGGAGCGUUCUGUAUUAGAAUGAAGCAUUAGCGUGAGCGGAUGUGAACGAAACAGAAGUGAGAAUGUCGGCUUGAGUAGCGAAAACAUUGGUGAGAAUCCAAUGCCCCGAAAACCUAAGGAUUCCUCUGGAAGGUUCGUCCACAGAGGGUGAGUCAGGGCCUAAGGCGAGGCUGACAAGCGUAGUCGAUGGACAACAGAUUAAUAUUUCUGUACUAUAUAUUAUUAAUAUCGAGGGACGAAGAAGGCUAAAUCAUCCGGAUGUUGGUUACCGGUUUAAACUUAUAAGGUGAUGAAGGAAAGUUGAAAAUUUCUUGAGCUAAAAAGUGAGUACAAGGUACUAAGGUACUGAAGUGAUCUACGUCAUACUUCCUAGAAAAGCUUGUAAUAUUUUAAAUAAUAUAUACCUGUACCUUAAACCGACACAGGUAGGUAAGUAGAGAAUACUAAGGGGCGCGAGAUAACUCUCUCUAAGGAACUCGGCAAAAUAGCCCCGUAACUUCGGAAGAAGGGGUGCCCUUGUAGGGUUGCAAUAACCAGGCCCAAGCGACUGUUUAUCAAAAACACAGGUCUCCGCGAAGUCGUAAGACAAUGUAUGGGGGCUGACGCCUGCCCAGUGCCGGAAGGUUAAAGAAAUUUGUUAGUCGUAAGACAAAGCUUAUGACUGAAGCCCCGGUGAACGGCGGCCGUAACUAUAACGGUCCUAAGGUAGCGAAAUUCCUUGUCGGGUAAGUUCCGACCCGCACGAAAGGCGUAACGAUUUGGGCACUGUCUCGGAGAGAGACUCGGCGAAAUAGACUUGUCUGUGAAGAUGCGGACUACCUGCACCAGGACAGAAAGACCCUAUGAAGCUUUACUGUAGCUUGGAAUUGAGUUUGGGUUUAUUCUGCGCAGUAUAGGUGGGAGGCUAAGAAGAUAUAUUUGCGGAUAUAUUAGAGCCAACAAUGAGAUACCACUCUUAAUAAACUAGAAUUCUAAUUUUGAAUACCAUUAUCUGGUCAAAAAACAGUUCCAGGCGGGCAGUUUGACUGGGGCGGUCGCCUCCUAAAGAGUAACGGAGGCGUACAAAGGUUUCCUCAGGCUGGUCGGAAAUCAGUCGUAGAGUAUAAAGGCAUAAGGAAGCUUGACUGCGAGACUUACAAGUCAAGCAGAGACGAAAGUCGGUCUUAGUGAUCCGACAGUACCGAGUGGAAGGGCUGUCGCUCAACGGAUAAAAGUUACUCUAGGGAUAACAGGCUGAUCUCCCCCAAGAGUUCACAUCGACGGGGAGGUUUGGCACCUCGAUGUCGGCUCAUCGCAUCCUGGGGCGGUAGUACGUCCCAAGGGUUGGGCUGUUCGCCCAUGAAAGCGGUACGCGAGCUGGGUUCAGAACGUCGUGAGACAGUUCGGUCCAUAUCCGGUGUAGGCGCAAGAGUAUUGAGAGGAGCUCUCCUUAGUACGAGAGGACCGGGAGAGACGUACCUCUGGUGUACCAGUUAUUGUGCCAACAGUAAACGCUGGGUAGCCAAGUACGGAUUAGAUAACCGCUGAAAGCAUCUAAGUGGGAAGCUAGCCUCAAGAUGAGUACUCUUUCUGUUUUUAACAGGAGAGAUCACGGUAAGAUUAACCGUUUGAUAGGCAUUAAGUGUAAGUAUAGUAAUAUAUUCAGCUGAAAUGUACUAACAGAUCGAAAACUUAAAAGA